GAAUUUACACAAGCAAUACCGGGAAAAACCAAUGAACCUUCGACUGGAUCUCAAUUCAGAUUACAAGCUGCAAUUUUUUUAGGUUAUUACAAAAUGACAGCUCCGCAGGUAGUAACCACAUGUUUUUGUACCUCCUUUUACAACAAAAUCAUCCUCGUCUUAACAGCCUGUUUCUUUAAUUCAUUGGCAUGCCAACAACCUCUUAACAAGAGUUAAACUACCUAAGCUGCUACAUUAAAGAGCAAUAAGAAGAAUUUUCAUUUUACAACAGUCUAUGAGAAGAUCACCAGGGGAAUACAGAUCCUAUUGUAAGAGAAACCUACUAUCAACAGCCACAUGGUAUCCAAACAAAAUGACUGGCUAAGACAGUCACUUUGCCUCAUCC
rnacentral:lncRNA from 1 species